rnacentral:rRNA from 1 species
UGGGGAAUAUUGCACAAUGGGCGCAAGCCUGAUCCAGCCAUGCCGCGUGUGUGAAGAAGGUCUUCGGAUUGUAAAGCACUUUAAGUUGGGAGGAAGGGCAGUAAGUUAAUACCUUGCUGCUUUGACGUUACCGACAGAAUAAGCACCGGCUAACUCUGUGCCAGCAGCCGCGGUAAUACAGAGGGUGCAAGCGUUAAUCGGAAUUACUGGGCGUAAAGCGCGCGUAGGUGGUUUGUUAAGUUGGAUGUGAAAGCCCCGGGCUCAACCUGGGAACUGCAUCCAAAACUGGCAAGCUAGAGUACGGUAGAGGGUGGUGGAAUUUCCUGUGUAGCGGUGAAAUGCGUAGAUAUAGGAAGGAACACCAGUGGCGAAGGCGACCACCUGGACUGAUACUGACACUGAGGUGCGAAAGCGUGGGGAGCAAACA